rnacentral:rRNA from 1 species
GACGAACGCUGGCGGCGUGCUUAACACAUCGAAGUCGAGCGGACUUUGAGAGCUUGCUCUCAAAGUUAGCGGCGGACGGGUGAGUAACACGUGGGUAAUCUGCCCUCAAGUGGGGAAUAACACAAAGAAAUUUGUGCUAAUACCGCAUAAAGUAUGCUAAUCGCAUGAUAGGCAUAAAAAAGAUUUAUUGCUUGAGGAUGAGCCCGCGGCCCAUUAGCUAGUUGGUGAGGUAAAGGCCCACCAAGGCCACGAUGGGUAGCCGACCUGAGAGGGUGAUCGGCCACAUUGGAACUGAGACACGGUCCAGGCUCCUACGGGAGGCAGCAGUGGGGAAUAUUGCACAAUGGGGGAAACCCUGAUGCAGCAACGCCGCGUGAGCGACGAAGGCCUUCGGGUUGUAAAGCUCUGUCUUCGCUGACGAAUAAAUGACGGUAAGCGAGGAGGAAGCCACGGCUAACUACGUGCCAGCAGCCGCGGUAAUACGUAGGUGGCAAGCGUUGUCCGGAAUUAUUGGGCGUAAAGGAUGCGUAGGCGGUUUUUUAAGUGGGAUGCGAAAUACCUAGGCUUAACUUAGGAAUGGCAUUCCAAACUGGAAGACUAGAGUGCAGGAGAGGAAAGUGGAAUUCCCAGUGUAGCGGUGAAAUGCGUAGAGAUUGGGAGGAACACCAGUGGCGAAGGCGACUUUCUGGACUGUAACUGACGCUGAGGCAUGAAAGCGUGGGGAGCAAACAGGAUUUAGAUGCCCUGGUAGUCCACGCUGUAAACGAUGAGUACUAGGUGUGGGGGGCGAAGCCCUCUGUGCCGCAGUUUACACAAUAAGUACUCCGCCUGGGAAGUACGAUCGCAAGAUUAAAACUCAAAGGAAUUGACGGGGGCCCGCGCAAGCAGCGGAGCAUGUGGUUUA